rnacentral:rRNA from 1 species
ACUCUCGGCAACGGAUAUCUCGGCUCUCGCAUCGAUGAAGAACGUAGCGAAAUGCGAUACUUGGUGUGAAUUGCAGAAUCCCGUGAACCAUCGAGUCUUUGAACGCAAGUUGCGCCUGAAGCCAUUAGGCUAAAGGCACGUCUGCCUGGGCGUCACGCAUCAC